UAGAGAGCCAUUGCGACCGCCGCCGGCUAGGACUACACUGAAGGAUGUGGAGGUCUGGCCACUGGAGGAUGCCUGUUUGCCCUGGGUUGUGCUGAAGCAUGAGAUUUGGCAUACAUAUGCAUCCUGAGGGUCCAGAUCUGAACCUGUCAAAAAGAUUUUCGCCAGUCAACAUUUAAACAUAGUCCAAGUGCUCUGUCCACUGCACCACCUCCUGACGGAGAGCUGAUGGACUCAAGGAUACAGAAUGAAACGUUUUUUGGAUAUGGCAACUAUAAGAAUUUGUUUUGCUUUACAAUAUAUGUUUGUUACAAGGGUUUUCCUUUUUCAAUUGCAGAAAACAUAAGAGGG